AGUAGUUGUGAGGUGUCUGGACUGCCUGCCUCUUCCAUUCCUUUGUGCUGACUGUGAUAUUGCAGUUCACACACGCUUUGUCCUGCACAACAGAGAGGCAGUAACAGGAGGGUUUUUGCAGCCUUCAUCAGAGUUUCACAAGCCAAUAGUUCGGCUGUUGCCUGUCCAAAGGCCAGACCAUGUGUGUGACUGCCCAGCAGGUAACGUUGAGGUUUCACCCGGCUCAAUUGUGGCUCUUGUAACCAUAAAUGGCCGUUAUAACCUUGCACUGCCAGUGGUGAGCUGCACCAGCUGUGACCUAAUGUGGUCCCCCUCAGUUAAGGACAUCCUGGGUAGUGGAUAUUGGCCUGGCACCUUAAAUUUCUGCACCCUGUUUUCAAUGGAUGUCUUUCAGUCUUUCUAUGACAUUAAGAAGGCUGCACCAGGGAUGUCACUUAAGGCAUUUGUCAAAAUGCUGGAUGAACGAACAGCCCAUUUUGGAAGGACUGGCCGAAUAUCAGCUGAUGCCUUCAGUAGAAGUUUCUUGGAGUGGAGUGCUGUAAAGUUUGAGGUGGACAGGAUGUGCAAGGAGCCAUGCUUUAGCUGCCCUGCCUGCACUCCAGACAUGCUUGCCGUCUCAGUUGA